rnacentral:lncRNA from 1 species
GUCCUGAUUGAACUGCUCUUUAAGUUAGGGCCACAAAAGUGCGCAUGCGCAGUAAACUUUGUUUGUGUUGUUGCCUGAAACCGUCUAUAUAUUACUUUUUUUUCUGCAUAUUGUCAAACCGAUUAUGGUUAUUAUCAGUACUAUCAAAUAUCUUUUUUUUAUUUAAUUUUAAUUUUUUAUAUUUUUUAUAAUUGAUUUUUUUAUUUUUUAUUUUUUUAGCAAAUAAUUUUAAAAUAACUGUGUUAUGUCUACACCAAGUGCAACCUCCCGCGCUCUCUCUCUGAAGCUAACAAGGAAGUGACUAAAACUGUAAUUCAUCGACUGGCCGCUAGAGGCUGGCUGCAAAAGGGAGUCAGUCCCAUAGACUCCUCAUGUUAAAAUGCCCAACUUUACAGCAGAAAAAAACAUGUUUACAGCCUGGUGCAAAAAAUGAUUUUGGUCUAUAUAGCUAAUUUUGCCCUUCAUGACAACUGUGAAGGGGGAGAAUUUUUUUUGUAACUCAUUCAUUUAAAUUAUAUUAAGCCUUAAAGUUCUCCAAAAUUCAGGGCGUGGCCACUUGAGUGACAGGUGGAUUGCCGCUGCUGACUCUGCCGUGGCUUCAGCAACCAGCUCCCGCCUCUUUGCUCAUUUUCGAUUAUGCAGGAGUGCGCGUGAGUCCGGUGAUAUCCUGGGUGGGCAUUGUUCCUGUUGUGGGUCGGUUGGAUGGCUGUGUUGCAUGGGGAAACAAUGUAGAUACUUAUACUGUAGAUAUUGCUAUAUUAACUUCAUAAACUAUAGGCUGUUAUAUGUACACUGGAGAAAAAAAAAGAAAAAAAAAACCUUUGGCAGCCUAGAAUAUCAUGCACUUUCACAACAAAAUAAACUUUUUUCUUUAUUGAAUAAUAAUGAUAAGGAUGAUGAUGUUAAUAAUAAACUUUUUUUCUUUUUCUCUAUAUCAUUGUUUCUACACUGGUGAUUUUUAUUUAUACCAAACAAGGCCAUAAUCAUAUCGAGAACAUUACAUUAUUGUUUUGAGGAAAAUAUUAAGACCAGACCACUAUGGUAAUGAUAAAGGAACUAAAUAAACAAGAUUUGUUUGUAAAGUAAUCAAUCUGAACUGCAAAUAAUAUUUUCGCUAUUUUAAAAUAUGCACCCAUUCAGUUUUAGUUUUAUUCCUAAUAUCUUUAAAGCGCAAGACAGAAAUAUAUAUGCUCGUGCCCCACUGAUGCAAUGAACGCACUGUCACGGUAGGAAAUCCAUUGGUUCCUCCGUGUCAUGUUUUGUGUUUGUUUUUGUACUCACGUAGUCUCCAUGUGCUCGUUUGGUUGAUUGUUGUCACCUGUGUGUUGAUUGUCUCGCUCCAGCUGAUCCUCAUCUCCACUCAGCUACAUAAACUCACUCAUCUCUCUGUCUAUUGUCAGAUCCUCA